rfam:Medicago truncatula strain A17 unplaced genomic scaffold scaffold0022, whole genome shotgun sequence.
AAGUAGUGUGACAUGUCCGUUUGAGAUUUACUCAGAUUGCAUGUUUAAUUUAUUAUUUAAUUGAUUUUGGAUAACGGGGUGUUACAAACACU